GCCGGGGUGGUGGAACAGCAGACACGUAUCUCUCAAAAAGAUAUGAGCCAAAAGCUCGUGAGGGUGCAAAUCCCUCUCCCGGUA
rnacentral:tRNA from 1 species